UGUUAAAUCAUGUCAAGAUGGUGAUCAUAAUUUAAACUAAAAAGUCUUUAAGGUUUGCUCAACAUCUCUUGGAGCCCAUCAGGAUCUGUAGAAUGGAUCCUAAUCAUGACACAAAAGAACACAUUAAUACUAUUAAUCGAAUGUUCAAAUCAAUUGAGGAUAACAAUUAUGUCAUUGAUGAGAGUUGGAAGAUGUCUUUGCUUAAGAGGACUUUACCUAAUUUCUAGACCAC
rnacentral:lncRNA from 1 species